CAGCCAGUGAGAGUCAUGUGGCAGAACUGAAAGGAAAGAACACAGCCCUGGAGGCCAGAGUGACAGCCAGUGAGAGCCAGGUGGAAGAGCAGCCCAAGCAGCAGAACUGUCAGACUUGGGGACCAGAGUGACAACCAUUGAGAGCCAGGUGGCAGAGCUGAAGAAAGAUAAUGCAG